AGCCCGGAAAGGGGAAAAUGACCAAGAUGCCCCGCUGGUAGGUCCUUCCGCAUGCGUAUCAGAGGAGAAUUAAUGGCCGUUACGCAUGGAGCAGGCGCCUGACACAUCCGUACAUACGGAGCUAGGCGGCAGAAGACAGCUAGCAUUGUGGCAGAGAAACAGAUAUAUAUAUCACGGUAGAGGCCACGCAGAAGGGGGUUCUCUCUUCUUCUUCCUUCUCCUUCCUGGACACCAUUUUUAUUCUUUC
rnacentral:lncRNA from 1 species